AUCGCUUCUUGGCCUUUUGGCUAAAAUCAAGUGUAGUAUCUGUUCUUAUCAGUUUAAUAUCUGAUAUAUCCCUUAUCUGGGGACCAUAUCUUAAAUUGAUUUUGGAACAGGGAGAUGGAGUAGGGGCUUUCUCCGUCUACUCCACGCAUCAAUACAUUUUACAAAGUAAUAAGAACAAAUCUC